UGUUCCUAGUUUUUUGGUUUGGUUUUCCUUUCAGCAGUCUCCCCAAAGGCUUUUCUGGACACGUUUUGUAUCUUUUUUGUUCUUCCAGGAUUCAUUCGUCAGGAAAGACAACCAUGAAAUCUGAGGGCUGUGGACAACCAUCUACCAGAUGGUUGCUGCAGUUGCCUUUGGUCACGUCAUUCGUGCUUUUAGCUCGCCCUUUCCUUUAUCUUGAGUUGAAUUUUUCUUGCAGCGCUAUGUUUGCAGUGGUAACAUUGCUGCCGAGGUGUUUUUUGACUAAAAAUGAUCUUAACUGUAGUAGUGAAUUCACAGAGUGUGGCUUUGUGUAAUGAUCACAACUUUUUUUUUCCUUUGUCACAGAUAGGAGAAAAGCUCUUUCCAGAGAGAUGGAGAAGGAAUUAAUUAUACCUCUGCCUCAUCCUGUGAGACCAGAAGACAAUGACUGACUAACCGUAAGCUGCGAUUCUCAGGAGUCGCAUGGCUAAGAGUCUCGGGUUCCUUCUCUGCCUGCCCCCCAGGGCCUUAGGCAUGAGAAAUCUUAGGCUUAAUGUUUUUUGCCUAUGAAAUACUGUCGCGUUAAGGGGCAUAGCUGAGCUAACUGUUACGGUUCUGGUCGGAUUCAGGGUACUGAACUAUCACGGUCACGGAUUCACCUAAAUAACAUAGCACACCCUCGCUCUAGUUGCGUUCAAUGAGAACUGUCACGGCUAGGAACAAUGCACUGAACAGCAAUUUAUUACAGCAACAAGGACACAGGUUCUUUGGAUCGCCGGCGGUAAAUUCACUGUCCGCGAAAGCAAGCGAGCACGCAUGCUCAGCGCCCAGUGGUCGCACCUUGGAGGCACGGAGCUUUUGGGAUGGAGGUGUGUUUUGAUCUUAUGAUGAUACUAGAAUGAGCAAAAGUUCCCUAGAGUACAGUGUUUUGUUAAAAACACGACAGGUCGUUGGCUCAGGGUAGCAAACGUGCAGCUUAUCGGUCUCAGUGUGCACAAGAGCAUCGGGUCCCCAUCUGGUCGCAGAGCCUAUCCGUGGUGUUUCCACUCCGCCUUACGCUCCGUCCUGUUCCUUAGAGUCAGCACACCGCGUUCCCCUAGUGCGAUAGCAUGUGAAGUUGGAGGUCUAGGGAACGCUUAGGUAGCGCAGCUGCCCUCCACCCUGAAAGCUUCUUCAGUGGUGUACGCUUUCUUUAAAAGGUGAAUAUGAGUUUAAUUGGCCUAGUUACCUCAGGCAAUUACUCCGCAACUACCCAAAGCAGCGAUAGUGAGAAGCCCACUUCCAGCAUCUGCUCCCCACGCAGGGACGGACGGGUGGACAGACGGACGCCGCUCUUUGCCUUACCUGCCAGGGGAAGGGGAGAACGACCGGGCAGGGAGCCCCACCGCAGCCCCCCUCCCGGGAGUCCUGCACAGCAGUUUAAUAAAGUUUGCUUUCCGGCCCGUGCCCCCUUUGGUGGUUGCCGCCGCGACAGCAGAAUCAAAGACAGCAGGUCGGUGACUCCCACCGAGAUGGUCAUUAAGAUAAAACAGUGAAGUUUCUGGCAUAUAUUAAAAAGCCUGGAGGAAUUAGCAUAGCUUGCAGGAAAGCGUGCUGGAAAGAGAUGAUAUUUGAGAGCAAGCGUUAAAAUGUCGUCUUUUCACCAAGAAUGAUGAGAACUGAUGCGUCUGUCCUGCGUUUGGAUAGAAGACGCCCUGGAUUUAAAGACGGUGUGUAUUAAAUGAAGUAUGAGAAGAAACAGCUUCUUCGGACACUUGCGCUCCUCUUCUUCAGCUCGUGGAGAAGGCUGACAGCCUGUCUCACUGUCGUCAGUGCUAUCCCACCAGCUCCUUUAGGAGCCCAGCACCGCGUUUGGCCUGUUGAGGGGAGCGGGAAGAUCGCAUUUCUGUGCUGCAACGCCACCAUCCACGAGAAGUCAGACAGGAAAAAAGCUCUUUCCAGAGAGAUGGAGAAGGAAUUAAUUAGACCUCUGCCUCAUCCUGCAAGACCAGAAGACAUGGAGUAACUGUAAGCUGCGAUUCUCAGGAGACAUACUGAGAGUCUCGGGUUCCUUUUCUGCCCGCCCCCCAAGGCCUUGGGCACGUUGGGUUCACCCUGGGAAGGGCACGUUGCUCAGGGCAGUUAUUUCCUCCCCUAGACGACGUGGGGUGCAUUUUUCUGCUGCACUUGUGGUUUUCCACCUGUGGUUUUUCACUUGUGGUUUUCCACGUGGUUCGCACUGCUUCCAUUAUUGAGAAAACGGUUUGGGAAGCUGUGUCUGCCACUUCUCAGGAUUUUCUGCCACCACCUGCUGGCAAAAAAAAUCAGUAACGCAGGUGGAGCCAUGUAGGACUUCUCAGAGGUAAGCCUUCAACGUACGGGGACCCCUAAACUCGUGAGCCGAGCACGCAAGACAAAUGUCCGUGGCACAAAGAUCAAGGACGACUUCUCAGAGGUAAGCAGCUUUCCCUUUGUUUUCCCGUCCUCUCAGGAGCCCUCCUUAUGAUGCUUGUACACACUUCAGGCUCACAACACUCAUUUUCUCCUCUACUUAGUAUUCCUAGUCCCUGGCUAACCCGUCCUCCCUCCCCCCACUUUCCAAAGACCUACGUGCUCUGCUCAGGUCCCUCCUGAGGUCUUACAGAUCUUUUAAAUCUGCUCAGCGUUCUUUCCGGCUUGUUCUGUGCCAUUAUUUUUUCCCUGCUCCUUUUGAGAAUGUCUGUACCCUUUUCAGAUCUCGAUUGGGUUGGCUUUUUUGAAUCCAUCUGCAUAGCCUUUUGUUUUUUAGAUAGUCUACUAAGGUAUGUUACUUCUCCGGUGAGUUAUUUUACUACAUUGAAUUGUAUUUUUGUGGUUUGUAAUCUGUUACAGUCCUAGAUUAUUUCUACCUAUGUAAAGAAAAGUUUCAGCUAAUUACAGUCAAAACCAGUUUUAGUUACCUACUUGGUCAUAUUGUCGUUUCAAUAAUCAGGACUGAAGCAAAAGCACAGGAAUUGUUGCCUCUAGUAACACUCCACACACUGUUGAGCUAAGCCAAAUAAAAAACGCAGCUGCUGCUCUCUUUAUCCCUUCCUGUGCUUUGCCCCUCCUCUUUCCCAGGUGAUUGGAGCAGGGUGCCGGGUGGGGCCUAAUGGUAUAUGAGCCGCAGGUGUCCUGUCAGAGAGCUCAUUCUGCCUGAGCUGCUCUUUGGGCAGUAGGUAAACCUUAGGAGGAAUCGGUCAAAGGAAACAGCAACUGUCAAGUUCUUGUUCGGCAACUCGGUGACUGGUUUGAUCUACUUCUCAGAUGUAGAGGCAAAUGGACUGCUCUUUUGAAAUGAUAAAAUAAAAAACAUGAAUUUUGUCAAAUGUG